UACGCAGGGGGCUAGCGUUGUUCGGAAUCACUGGGCGUAAAGCGCACGUAGGUGGAUUUUUAAGUCGGAUGUGAAAUCCCUGGGCUUAACCUAGGAAUUGCAUUCGAUACUGAGAAUCUAGAGUAUGGUAGAGGGAAGUGGAAUUUCCGGUGUAGCGGUGAAAUGCGUAGAUAUCGGAAAGAACACCAGUGGCGAAGGCGACUUCCUGGACUAAUACUGACACUGAUGUGCGAAAGCGUGGGGAGCAAACAGG
rnacentral:rRNA from 1 species